rnacentral:rRNA from 1 species
UAGUUGGUGAGGUAAAGGCUCACCAAGGCGACGAUCUGUAGCGGGUCUGAGAGGAUGAUCCGCCACACUGGAACUGAGACACGGUCCAGACUCCUACGGGAGGCAGCAGUGGGGAAUUUUGGACAAUGGGGGCAACCCUGAUCCAGCCAUGCCGCGUGAGUGAAGAAGGCCUUCGGGUUGUAAAGCUCUUUCAGCCGGGAAGAAAUCACAUGGGUUAAUACCCUGUGUGGAUGACGGUACCGGAAUAAGAAGCACCGGCUAACUACGUGCCAGCAGCCGCGGUAAUACGUAGGGUGCGAGCGUUAAUCGGAAUUACUGGGCGUAAAGCGUGCGCAGGCGGUUUGUUAAGAUAGGCGUGAAAUCCCCGGGCUCAACCUGGGAACUGCGAUUAUGACUGGCAGGCUAGAGUAUGGCAGAGGGGGGUGGAAUUCCACGUGUAGCAGUGAAAUGCGUAGAGAUGUGGAGGAACACCGGUGGCGAAGGCAGCCCCCUGGGCCAAUACUGACGCUCAUGCACGAAAGCGUGGGUAGCAAACAGGAUUAGAUACCCUGGUAGUCCACGCCCUAAACGAUGUCAACUAGGUGUUGGGUGGGUAAAACCAUUUAGUACCGGAGCUAACGCGUGAAGUUGACCGCCUGGGGAGUACGGCCGCAAGGUUAAAACUCAAAGGAAUUGACGGGGACCCGCACAAGCGGUGGAUGAUGUGGAUUAAUUCGAUGCAACGCGAAAAACCUUACCUACCCUUGACAUGUCCAGAAGCUCUUAGAGAUUUGAGUGUGCCCGAAAGGGAACUGGAACACAGGUGCUGCAUGGCUGUCGUCAGCUCGUGUCGUGAGAUGUUGGGUUAAGUCCCGCAACGAGCGCAACCCUUGUCGUUAAUUGCCAUCAUUUAGUUGGGCACUUUAACGAGACUGCCGGUGACAAACCGGAGGAAGGUGGGGAUGACGUCAAGUCCUCAUGGCCCUUAUGGGUAGGGCUUCACACGUCAUACAAUGGUCGGUACAAAGGGUUGCCAACCCGCGAGGGGGAGCUAAUCCCAGAAAGCCGAUCGUAGUCCGGAUCGUAGGCUGCAACUCGCCUGCGUGAAGUCGGAAUCGCUAGUAAUCGUGGAUCAGCAUGUCACGGUGAAUACGUUCCCGGGUCUUGUACACACCGCCCGUCACACCAUGGGAGCGGGUUCCGCCAGAAGUAGGUAGCCUAACCGCAAGGAGGGCGCUUACCACGGCGGGGUUCGUGACUGGGGUGAAGUCGG